UAAUAAUAAUAAUAAUAAUUCAAGGAUCAUUAUUCUAUUUAGACAUCAAAAUAAACAAACGAAUAAACUUAAUCUGUUCAAAUCACCAAGGAAGAACAUUAUGUAAAAGUGUAUUGUAAUUCAUUACCCAGGCCACUAUCCAUAAGCAAUAGAGACUGAAGGCAAAUGAAAGCCUUCUGAACUCAAUUCUUGAUGAUUAUAUAAACUCAUUUCGACUGUUAAUAUGCUCAGCACGUCGGAUACAAAAUAAAUAAUAAUAAUAAUAA
rnacentral:misc_RNA from 1 species